GAGGAUAUAGCUCAGUGGUAGAGUGCGUGCUUAGCAUACUUGAGGUCCUGAGUUCAAUCCCCAGUACCUCCA
rnacentral:tRNA from 1 species